AGGAUCCGAGCGUUAUCCGGAUUUAUUGGGUUUAAAGGGAGCGUAGAUGGAUGUUUAAGUCAGUUGUGAAAGUUUGCGGCUCAACCGUAAAAUUGCAGUUGAUACUGGAUAUCUUGAGUGCAGUUGAGGCAGGCGGAAUUCGUGGUGUAGCGGUGAAAUGCUUAGAUAUCACGAAGAACUCCGAUUGCGAAGGCAGCCUGCUAAGCUGCAACUGACAUUGAGGCUCGAAAGUGUGGGUAUCAAA
rnacentral:rRNA from 1 species